rnacentral:tmRNA from 1 species
GGGGGCGACUGGUUUCGACGGGGAUCAGUGACGCACAGGUGGCAUCCCGAGGUGCUCGCUCCUCGUAAAACUGUGGGCACGGUUAUAGCUGCCGACACUCAGCUAGCUCUGGCGGCCUAACACCCGCUAGCGUCCUCCGGGUCGAGUCAUCGGGGCCCGGGUUCGGACGUCAUAUUCCGGUGACUGGCUCCAAGCUCCGCUCUUGGGCAAGGGGCGAGAUCUUCUAGGAGCUGGCCGCCCUGACAACCAGCCGGUUGGAGGGAGGGGUGGCGAGAGCACAAGAGAACCGGCUAUGGAUGUAGAUGCCUGUUGCUGAGGAUUUCCGGACGUGGGUUCGAUGCCCACCGCCUCCACCA